GCUCAAGAGCUGAAGAAGGACGUGCCAAGCUGCGAUAAGCCUACGGGACCCGCACGGAGGGGAAGAACGUAGGAUUUCCGAAUGGGAAUCCCCACCGCAAUUGCUUCGCGCAAUGGGGAACGUCGAGAAUUGAAACAUCUUAGUAUCGACAGGAAAAGAAAGCAACUCGCGAUGUCGGAUAUCUCGGGGUUCGACUUGGCGGAUGGCGUCGAAGAUCGCGUUAAUAUUCGAACUCGAGUC
rnacentral:ncRNA from 1 species